rnacentral:lncRNA from 1 species
CUUCAUAUUAUUUCUGUUUGAGAAAAUUUUCAACUCAAUACCCAAUACUCAAUACUCAAUAGUCUGAGUCAAUCUCGAGUUUCGAAAAUAUUUAAUUUGCUUCGCAAAGCACUGCAUGUAAACAAACGCAUAAUUUUGAGACCGACUGCUCGACCGACUGCACGUAGUUUGAGACCGACUGGGUCAUUUCUCUGGGUGGGGGGGGUGAACCACCCCCCCCCACACCCCCACAUUUACGCCCCUGACUGUACUGACAAGCGUAAUAUUAACCGUGAUCUGUGGUUUUGCUAUACAUUUCCUAUGAUGAUAUUAAUCUUAUUUCUUGACAGGUUAAUAGAAAGAUAGCACAUAUCGCAGGUGACGGAAUACGAAAUCAGUAAGCUGUGAGUACUAUUGAUAGAUAUAUUUGUAUACCUUGUUAUCCAAUGAUCACGCCUAAUAUCGAGUAUUCUCACUUGUUAUCCCCGUGUGCAACUAAUUGUCCACAUUUGGCAGUCCAUAAUUUCGCUUGUUAUCCAGUAGUAUCCUACCAAAGUGACUAACUUUCCAUCGUUAUCCCCGUCGCGUAUCCAUGUGCUCCUAAAUAUCCACGUUUGGUAUCAUAUAAUCACCCUUGUUAUCCAGUGGUAUCCUAUAUCAAACUGACCAACUUUCCAUCAUGGUUUGGAGUGAAGUAUUAAUAACCCUACUCGUCCUUGGGGUUCUCAUCUGCGUGGUAAACUUGGUAUUUAUUAUCCUAUUAUAUCACCGCGGGUCCUUAGACAAACUCCAAAACGCCCUCCUUCUUAGUCUCGGGUGUUCGCAUUUUUGUGCGGGUUUUUUUUUCUAUACCGUGUGUCCUGCUAUGCAGUCUGAUUGACAUUUACCCCGCCAAAUGCAAGCUAUGCAUCGCAAGUUACCUCUUAACCCGUUUAAUAAUGAUCUCAUCUCUUCUGCAUCUCAUGGCUGUCAUCUACGAACGGUAUUUGAAAAUCGUCCACCCUUUUUGGUUUCAAAGUAAAGAAUAUACGUUGUUACGAAGUGGUCGUGCUGUGUUCACCUUGUGGUGUAUAAGUCUCUUGAUUUCGGCAGCCCCGCUGACGUGGUGGCCUUUGGGCACGCCUUGUCUGGAGGACGAGAGAAAAACUGAGAGUUGGAUAGAAAUCUGGAGAACUUUGAUUACGCGUGUCUUGCGCUUUUUUGCCUGGUACUGCUGCUCAUAAUCUACGCGUUCGUUCGAAUGUUUCUCGUGGUGCGCACGCAUCUGCUCGAUAUUAACACAACCGCUGUGCAGUUAAGGGCGAGUAUGGAUAACAUGUUGGCUCACUCAACCACAGACUCUAAUCGUUUAGGGUCUGGUUCGGGGGAAAGUAUUUUACAGCAUAAUUUGCUGAAAACUCCACCACGAAGAAUUUGCUCGACACGAAGCGGGUCCGAAGUAUCACAUAUAUCUUCUUGUCAAACUCUUCGGAAACAAUUGCUACAGCCAUUUUUUGUUUUUUUUUCUGCAUUUUGAAAAUGAGUAAAACCCAUCAAGAUUCAAAUUACAGUUAUCCUGAGAUAACCAGGUUUCUACUAAAGAAAUAAAGUCAAAUUGACGAAUUGUGGAAAUAAAGUCAGAAUCGGCAACCUUUCUUGAAAGACCUUCAAUAUUCCAAGAACAGAGCCGCAGAAAAUUUCUGUUAAUUGGCAUUUUAAGACAUCCACCCGUACAGUUAUACAACAUAAAUAAUACUGAGCAUACACAUACCUGAGAACACGUAAUACACAUACACAAUAUACACACACACAUACAACCUGUAUAAAUGAGUGUACACACAAAAAUAAAUAUAUGCAAACCCCACCAUGCAAACAUAACUAGUCAUAAUAUUGCUGUUCUACUUAGCUUUAGGUUCCAAAUUGUGGAUUACCAUAAACUAAUCCUGAUGGUGGAAAGGGUGGCGGGAAAAGUGGUGGAGAGGGGGGAAAUAGAUUAUUUGGUUGUGGAGCUGGAUAAUUGUGAAAUGGCGGUUGUGCAGAUGGGUUGACAGUUGUUUGUAGAAAUUGUUUAAACAUGGAGGUUAGAUCAACGAGAUGGUUUUUAACUUCACUUAUGGUUGAUUGAUUUGGUGAAUUAUUCAGUGGGGGGUUCUGUUUCACGACAUCACUCCAACUUGAUCCAUGAUUUGAUUUGGGGUAUGGAAAUCGAUGUUGUCCAGAAAUUCUUCGAUUAUUGAUGCCCAAAGAUUUUCGAAUCCCAUUUUUUAAAUUGGUUGCAAAUAGGGGUAUACCGUGUCUCCUACUCAAAUGUUUUGUGUCAAAGUAGAAUUGAUCCUUACUUCGUAAAUUUCCAUUGUCCACCAAAACGACAUUAGGGAUUUUACAAAUGUUUUGGGCUACUGCUUUGUUGACCUCGAAGACGAAUUUAUCCAGGUCGUCCCGUCUAGAUGUGAUACUCGACAUAAUGAUCUUUUUGUCCGGAAAAUUGGUUGUAGCAAUGUUCACUAGACAAGUUUGGCUUUCGAUUAUAUCUUUGGGUGAUAAACUUUCCAAAUCAUUGACGCCAGUGUUGAUAAUGAUGCCAUGCUUCACCGUAAAUCCCGGGGAGGUUAAAAUGUCAAUAGCUUUGGCUGUAUUUCCGCAUGUAAUGACUUUGUUAUUUCCUUUUGGAUAAAGCUGAUCUGCGUUGAUAUACUUUCUGUUCGAAUCACAAAGGAUGACAAAGUCGUAUUCUGGUGAUUGAUCUUGUACUUGCUCUUGGUUUUCAUUAUUUUUGUUACUGGCUUUCGCGGCGGUAGAAUCUAUUGCACCUGGAACCUUUUCUUCUUGUGGCUUGGUUUCGCUCUGAGAGAUAUGGUUGUUAACUUGUUGAUCUUGUGGUUCGGUGUGGUUGGAUGUGAUUUCCUCAUGGAGCUUUGCAUUUGAAUUUUCUAAGAAAGCUACUCUUUUCAGUAACUGAGAUUUUUCUUCGACCAACGAUCCAAUACGACCUUGGAGUCGUUUAAUUUCUGUUUCGGCUUUGACAAAACGAUUGUCUCGUCUUUAUUGUUGUUUUGCGAAUCUUUGAUAACACGUAGUUCAUGUUUUAGAUGGGAAGUUAGCGACUCAGAUAAUUUUUUCUUAGUGUUUGAUAAGUUACUCUGUAUAUCAAGUAUAUCUACGUCUGUUGUAGCCAAAGUCGAGUCUAUUUUGAUCAUCAAUUGUUCCAAUUUGUUAACACGAUUACUUAUAGAUUCUAUAAAGUCAAUGAUUUGCUUUUGAUUUAUAGAACCAUUACUGUGAGUUGGCAGUGUUGAAUGAACGGAUGAUUUUCGUUGCAUUUUUCUGCGAUGACAAGCCCCAGGCGGUAUUUUAGUGGUAUUGUGGCGAGGUGAAGAGAGUGCUUUGCUUCGUCUGCGUCUGACUUUUGGAGAUUUUGUACUAGGUUGCUUUAAUAUUAGAUUCUCUUCAAUACCUUCGACAUCUUCAUCACAAUCCGAGGAGUCCACAUCAUUCAAAACAUCAAAUGAUACAUUACUUAAAUCAAGUUUCUCCUUGCUUCCGUAUACAUCGCUCGUGUCAUGAAAGGAAGUUGUAUAUAAUGAACUGAUUGUUUCGGCGUUUAAUUCCGAACUCAAGCAUAACUCAUUAGCAAAUGAUUUCAGUUUAUUGAAUUCGUUCUUACCCCAUAAAUCUUUGUAGUCUCCGUAUAUUUUGACUUUCUGUUCAGCUAUGUAAACAGUGACUGUAAAGAGAUGAUGUUUGCCAUUUGCCGCGGUGCUGGUCCUGCUGGAAUUUUCAUCGUCGUGAAAUUGAUAAAGAUCAAUUAUUAACUCUACUAGAUCGCCGUCUGAAUCUUUACUAGUUAUCCUCAACCAGUCUACAAUAUAGUUCACGUUGCUACCGAAGUCGAUCUAAUACCUUAUUUUCAAGGCAGUAAGCCACUGUUUGAAUAAAUGACUGUCUGACACCGAUAUAAAAUAUGCAUCUCCAAUUUCAGACAAUAUAGAAUGCUCUUCUGGUUGUAUUAUAGGAUAAUCCUCAGGUACAGAGCUAUCCAAAGAUUCAUCCUCUCGAACCACACUCAUAUUAGACAAACAUUAAAACUUUAAAAGACAUGAUAAACGAAACUGUACGGGAGGAAAACUAAGUCAAAGAUGGAGACCACACGAAGCCAUGCAUAUGUCGGCCAUAUGAUCCUACAUAUAAUAGUUUACAUGUUUAUCGUAAAAAUUAUGAAAUACCCGAUUUAUAUGAGUUUAUCUUGCAAUUCCCCCGACUUCCAAUACAAAGCCGACUUCGGUAGUGGUGACUUCCAAUACACUUGUCCUCGUGCUUAUUGCGAGCAGAGAGCAUGCGCAUGGCCUGUUGUUAGUAUCGGUAUUGGUAUCGGUAGUCGAACUUAAACUCUCUAAUGUUGGAGAGAGCGCCGAAACAACUCGGUGAGCUUUUAGAAUACAGGCGUCAUACUGCGAUGUCAUACAUACUCCACAUAAUUAAUACUGGUUGCAGUGUUAACAAUAAGUUUAGUAGUAUACUAUCAACAGUUUUUAAUAAUUUGUUUUGUAGUAUACACUGUCAUAUACUGUCAACAAGGUUUAAUAAUUUGAAAUACAACUUUUUCGGGAAACAGCUGUCAACGAGGCUGGGUUGGUAUAUGUAUUGCGACCGCUUUAAUCUUUAUAUUGUUUGCGCCUAAUUUAUAUAUGUGGCUUCCGCAUUCAAUAAAAAUACAAUACAAAACAACCGUGGGUUUACAUAUGUUCCUAGAAACAAACAUACAUCCGUGACGAGAGAAGGCGGUUCUUCAUCACAAGAGCCCGAAGAGAUCAUCAAUGGUGUUCGUCAAGGGCCGCUAUCUUACGAUCAUUCUUAAUUUAGUGUCUGCGGAGAAUAUGGGCGCUUUCCAUUAACACGGCCAGACCGGUCAGAACGGUCAAAUUGUUGAAUGGCACCACUGAUAUGAAACACAAAUCAUUUGGGCUUCGGACCUAUUUGACCGGAAAAUUUAGAUAACAUUAGAAUGAGGUCCAUUUUCACUAGAUAUUUGAGAAACAUGGACCAGAUCUUUCCAUUGAUACAGAGAAAAGAAUUCGGGUCUGACCGGUCAGGCCAUUAAAAGGAAAGCGUUCUAUGUCGAAAAAAAUCUGAAAUCAAAACAAAUUUGAUAUGUGAUACCUAUCGGAACAUGCGAAAGCGUUUAUGUACACGAGAAUUUUUCCGGAUUCAUAUUUUUUCGGAUACGGAAGCUGUUUUUAGCCUGUUUACACUUGACUUGGUACAGUGCAAACAUAGCCUUGUAUGGCCAAUAGAUGAACUCUUUUAUAAUGUCACAUUGCUAUGCACUUUUAGCAUAAAAACAUAAUAAUAUUUAACUCGGUGUUUAUAUAGUUCCACUUAAAUCCACCGCGUGUCAAUCAUCAUUCUCACAUAAAAAGGUUUAGUGCGAAUUCAUUCCAUCUGUCUCUCUUAAUUGUCUGUUUCGGAAAAAUAAGUGAAACUGCAAUAUUAAUCAUUACGAGCUAUAUGUUGUGAUGUCUGAAUUGAUGUAUGAAAUGUUGACAGAAAUAAAUCGAAACUCAUACAGUUAUGGGCGAGUACGAACGAGAGAUAAAUACAUGAUUAUCUUAUCUUCCGCUCGACGUCAUAAAAUACCUUUCGCCAAGUGGGUUAAUGUUAUUAUAUACUGCAGUUAUUUUGUGUCAAUUGCUAUCUCGUAUGUGCAUUACACGCAUCCUCACUGGCUAAUAUACUGACCUACUGUAACAAGAGGCCCAGUGUUGGACUGCUUUUGCCAUUGGUUGUAACCAGGGAGAGGCCUAGUGCUGGACUGCUUUUGCCGUUGGUGAUUAACGUAAAGUUAGCGGACGAACGUUCAAUUAAAGGCAAGUGAUAUUGUGAUAAUGGUUGGCGAUCAUUCGAUGUCUCAAAUUGCUCUUUAAAACUGAGAUGGUUUGCAAUUAUUUGCUAUUUAAUUAUAAAACCUGAGACUUAAACCUGCUCUAUAUGUUAUCUAUGUAUAGUAUUCUAUUUUAUAAUUGUUAAUGGAGGCAUGUUUAUACUUGAAAUGUAUCGUCCAUCUUUUGGGCUUUUGUCUAUUGAAUAAUCUAUAUUACUAUUUAAACCUGAGACUUAAACCUGCUCUAUAUGUGAUGAUGUAAUGUUACUUGAAAUGUAUCGUCGAUCAUUUAGGCUUUUGUCUAUUGAAUAAUCUAUAUUACUGUUUGUAUAUCCAUCCAUUUUUAUAUAAUACCUUAUUAAAUUCUAAUCGUUUAAUUGGCUGUUUAUGGUCACGUGAUAUUGAAUAGAAAAUUCCAUUUCCCAAGAGUGCAAUGGAACGUUCCAUUGCACUCUCCGCGAGUGCAAUGGAAUAAAACGUAUAGUACAAUUGCACUCUUUGUGUUUUCGAUAAAUCGCAUCCCUCAAAAUGCUUCUCAUACGAAUCUAUUAGUCUGUUCUGGACUUUUGGUUAUAUAAAACAAAUAAUGAAUGUUUCUUCGUGCAAUGGUAAGAAUAUUUUCAUUCGGUGAAAGAUGGAAUGUUCCAUUCAACUCGGCUGUCGCCUCGUUGAAUGGAACAUUCCAUCUUUCACCUCAUGAAAAUAUUCUUACCAUUGCACUCAUAAACAUUCAUUAUUCGUAUACUAAUGUAUAAUGAUGUGGUGUAAUAAAGUCAGUGUUAAAAUGAUAAAAGAGUCAGUCAACGCUCUGCCGAAAGUCGUGGGUUUUCUUCGAGUGCUCUGGUUUUCUCCCACAGGGAAAGUUGACAGGAUGUGUUAGGAUAAACACAGUUAGGAAAGUAAUAUCUCAAUUGUUGUAUAAAGAUAAAAUAGUUUGUGGCCUAAGUAUGUAUUUAGGUAAGCGUAUGAUAGAUACUUGAUGUAAAGUGCAUUUGAUCAUGGUUUGCAAAUGUUACUUGAAAUGUAUCGUCGAUCAUUUGGGCUUUUGUCUAUUGAAUAAUCUAUAUUAGUGUUUGUAUAUCGAUCCAUUUCUAAUGUAUAAUACUGUAUUACUGUGGUGUAAUAAAGUUGUUAAAAUGAUAAAAGAGUCGGUCAACGCUCUGCCGAAAGUCGUGGGUUUUCUCCGGGCGCUCCGGUUUCCUCCCACAGGGAAAGUUGACAGGGUGGGUUAGGAUAAACACAGUUAAGAAAGUAAUAUCACAAUUGUUGUAAAGAUAAAAUAGUCUGUAGGCUAAGUAUGUAUUUAGGUAAGCGUAUGAUACUUGAUGUAAAGCACAUUUGAUCAUGGUUUGCAAUUAUUUGCUAUUUAACUUAUUAUAGGAAAUUAACGAUGCACUUUAUUAACGCGGAUUUUAAAAAUUCGCGUUAAUUGCAUUAAUUUAUGUUAUCGUUAAUUUCAAGCAUGCAAAUUUUAGUUAUCGUUAAUUAAAAAGAACUCGAUUUGUUUUAUACAACACGAACUCUUUUAACUCAAAAUACAUCAUAUUAAACCUCAAAACAAAAACAUCAGUCCACCUCUUCACUGUCACUGUCAGAAUCUUAAGCUGAACUAUAUAUAUUUAUAUACAUUGGCUUAAAUGACUGUAACUUUCAACGUUGCAGUUUUGAUACUGUAUAUGUAUCUACUCGCGUACUGUUUUAAUUGGUAGUAUAUAAUACUUUUGCUGUUGUGUUUAUUCUUCGACUCGCGUUAGUUAUUAAAUUAACUUGUUAACCAUAAACUGUCAAAUUUGCGUUAAUCAAUUUUAGAAGUACCUGAAAGCAAUUCGCGUUAAUUUAAUCAGUUUUAGAAAUACGUGAAAGCAAUUCGCGUUAAUUAGAUGACACGUUAAUUUACGUCGCGUUAAAAAAGUGCAUCGUUAAUUUCCUAUAAUAAGGUAACUCUGGGACUUAAACCUGCUCUAUAUGUUAUGAUGUAAUGUUACUUGAAAUGUAUCGUCGAUCAUUUGGGCUUUUGUCUAUUGAAUAAUCUAUAUUACUGUUUGUAUAUCGAUCCAUUUCUAAUGUAUAAUGAUGUGGUGUAAUAAAGUUGUUAAAAUGAUAAAAGAGUCAGGAAUAGUUUCUUUCCUCCAGUUUCGUCCUACAGGGAAAGUUGACAGGGUGGGUUAGGAUAAACACAGUUAAGAAAGUAAUAUCACAAUUGUUGUGAAGAUAAAAUAGUCUGUAGCCUAAGUAUGUAUUUAGGUAAGCGUAAUCGUAAAACCUUAGUUCUGUUUCAUGAUGACUGAUCUCAUAUUUUUAAAAAUUUUAUUUAUUUUUAUUUACCAACCUUAGGCCAAAUACUGAGAAAAAAAACUUGGUUAGCGUCACCGCCCGCCUCUCGAUUUCUCAUGUGCCGCCUCUGAAUAUUUUCUAUGUUAAUCUCUUCGUUUUACAGCUUAAAACAGUUUAAUAUUUGAAAUUUUCCUCAUGCUCACACCUGGGCCUGGGUACAAGGUUCUUGUAUCAAAAUGGCGGCCUUCGCAACAUCAAUGGUGGAAAAACGGAAGAGAUUAUUUCGCUGGCCUCAGAGUGCCAAAACGUAACAAAGCGACGGUUUUACUAACACAACUCCAAACACCAACUCUAACCUUAAUCCUAACCCUAACCUAACCCUACUCCAAAUUGGUUUCUAAACCAAUCUUGAAGAAAAAAGUUUUGACGAAAUGUCAUUCUGAGGUCAGUGAAAUAGUUGAUGCCUGGAAAAACCGCCCCCCUUCCCCCCAAAAAAAUACUAUUAAAAAAUUUAAAAAACGAGUAAAAAUUAAACAAAAACAACGCCCGUCCGCCUCUGAAAAUUUGUGAGAGUGUGACGCCAACCAAGUAUUUUUUUAUUUGGCCUUAUCAGGUAAGACCCACAGCUGAGCCCUCGCUCCAUUAUCAGUGGACAACCAAACCUAGCUAAUUGAUACAAAUGGUACACUUGAUGACAGACCAGCCAAGAAUGAUUUAUUAUACGAUAAUAAAUUACUAUUUUAACAGAAACACCAGGCAAAAAAAGGAUGAGAAUGACAUUUUACACAGAUAGUUUUGAACGUUUGCGGAAUAUCAAUGGUAUAGGUUUCCUGACUCAUCUAACUAUAAUAUCAGUGAAUUUACCAGUAGAGAUAUUAUACGUCGGCGACUGUGUAAAUUUGAUAGCAAACAGUUGUGAAAGUCAUUAAUAAUUCAUGAGAAAACACAAUCAUGAGCGUGAAGGAGUUUGUAUAUCUGAUACAAAACCAUGUUGAUUUACAUAAACUUUAAGUUCAAUUUUCUCACCAAAUAUCAUUCAUUUAUUUGAAAUUGUUGAAGAAUACGAAUGUUCUCAUCAAGAUAUUUCACAAGCCAUUAGGGAGCUUAUAAACAUACAUACGACGCAGACGUGACGAAAAACUGCCGCUAUUAUCAACAGUUUCGCCUGACGGGUAAAAACUAUGGAUUGUUGUUGGUGUAAACAAAGCCAGGGACACGAGAAAAACAAAGAAAAACUAUUCUCCCAUUAUUAGCGACUGUUUUUUAGUCGCAGUCGCAGAUUUGGUGCGUCUUAAGCUCGGCGCUAUUUACAACAUUCGCGUCCGCGUUGUAUCCGCUAUCUUAGUGUUUAAAGCGUUCUAAAACUCAUUAGAAUAUUCUAAUUAACUUCGUCCAUUUGAUUGUCAGUUAUAUCGCUCUUUUAGGUUUUCAUGUUGAGUAGUGAAGACAUUUGAAUUUAUUUGCCGUUCGGGACAAGCUUAGCACUGAUCCGAGUUUCCCAUCAGCUUCUAAAGGUUUGUGGAUUUCUUAAAUAUUUCGUUUUCUUCUACAACGUCGUGAGAUCUGAGGAUUUCAUGUGUCUAGGCAAUUAUCAGUUUAAAGUGGCACUGUCAUUAAAAUGUUCAUUUUCUCAAACGAAAAUGCUCUUAAAACUGUAUAGUAACUUGUUUUGAAGAUUUUUGUUCCCAUGCUUAGUUCUUGAGAUAUUUUGUUUGUAAUCAUGUGACGUCAUUUACUCAAUUACAUAUAUAAUCAGUGUAUCUUUGCUAUUUUUUUAUCAAAAUCUUUCCAAAGAGUCGGCGCGUUUGUUAAUUUAACCUACAUCAUUAAGCUAAGCAUACUGUUGUUUUUUUUUUAACAAAUCCGUCAAAAACAGCAAAGAUACUCAACAUUUACUGAUAGCUCAUUAUAUAUGUAAUUGAGUAAAUGACGUCACAUGGUUUCAAACAAAAUGAAAUAUCUCACGAACAAACAAUGGGAACCAAUUUUUUCAAAUGAAGUUACGGUACAGUUUUAGGAGUUCUUUCGUUUGAAAAAAUAAAAAUUUUAAUGCCAGUGCUACUUUAGGGGGGAAAUGCAACAAAAUCGGCCUUUUGUUCUCAUUUAACCACAGAAUAGAAACCAUACAGAAGUCCGCCAAAAAGGCGUAACCAUUCGCAAUGAUUCGUUAUCAAAAUGCACUCGCCAUUUCACGAGGGGUAUUCACCCCCCUGAACGUCCAACAUUUUGAAUAUUAUCAGGGGGUGAAUUAAAUUUGUUGGUGAAUAACCAACGAGGUCUCAUUAUCUAGUCUCAUGAUUUAGUCUAAUUGUUUUAGUAUAAUUUCAGUAUUGAAAAAGUUGUAUUUAUAAAUACAACUAAUACAUAUGUUUAUGUUUAUGACUAUAAUUUGCAUAAAUAAUUUACGUCCGUUUGAUUUUCAGCCAUUUUUUUGGGAAAAGCAUUAGUUACUGCGCAAAGCAGUCUGAGCAGUAACUAUUGCCUCAGAGUUACUGCUGAGGGAACCAAUCAGAAUGCUCGAAAGCCAUUUUUCAAUACUGGAAUUAUACUAAAACUCAUUAGAAGAGAUGUGGGAAACUAUAUUCCUCAAAGUACGUAUGGCAAAAACAUUUAACCGACAGUAAACCCUUUUUCAACACCUGAAAAUUCGAUUCGUAAAGGAUUUGACAGAUUUUAAAAUUUUCUUGUUUCAAAAUUGGCUCACUCGAAUUCUCAAAAGGAUACUCAAGCCCUGCCUAUUUUCUUAAUCUAUAAACAAGACAACGAUCAAUAUCCUACGCGUCUGCUGUUUGUUAUAUGUAUAUAUAUGCAUCAAGAUUCUUGAAGACAUAAUAAAUUGUUUCAAAUUUUAACGAGAAGAACAUCUGACAUGCUACACUCGCUCUGAUGGCGCUGUUUCGUGUGAAUAGAGUUGCAUUUCGUUAUCUACAAAGCCACGGGGGCCUAAGUAUUUUUUUUUAAAUAUUGUAAGUUCAAAAUUUUUAUAGCUUUAGCUAUCUUUCCAAUCUAUCGUUAUUUUUUAAGCAGCCCUUCGUAUGCGCAAUUCAAAAAAAAAAAAAAAUGCACGCGAACACGUAUACAUGCGCCGCAUAUCUGGCGACGAUGUUUAGCAAAUUUCAUUUCUUUGCAUCAGUUUCUUGGGUUUUUUUGCAAAGGCUCUUUAACCGAAUUACUCGUGGCUGUAGGUUUUUGUUAUGUUUGACUAAUUUUAGUGGUUUUGUUUCGGGUUUCAGUAUACAUGCCCCUUGAAUUCAGGAAGUUUCAAAAAUAUAAAAAUAUCCUUUUGCAUUCCUUGGGAGUUGCCUGUGUAUUUACAAAAACAAAGAAAUAUACAUCAUUAAUUUGAAAUCAAUAAUUUGAACUAAAACUUAAGACAGUUUAACUCAACCCAAGCAGGCAGCGCGUUGUAUAAUUGGAAAUAAUAAAAUACUAGAAGUUACUAUCGCAAGGAAAGUGGUGCCUCACCCCCAAGAAAUCAAAGGCAGCAUGCACAAUUUGCUGAAAAUAAUCUUGCUGUGCCGGGACGAGAUGUGAGGCGGACUAUUUUGUUGUAUUGAAAUAAAUUACGAUGCUCGAUUUGGCAAAAAAACCACAUUAUCUUCUAAAUAUAGAUUAUAGAUAACUGUAAACGAAAGGUUGUUCAAUCAGCAAUAACAAUCUUCUUCAAUAAUCAACAAUAAUAAUAAUGAUUUUUUCUGUGUUGGUGUUGUGUACUCAGGUGAAUAUGAUGUUUGUGAUGUUACUCUGAGUGUACAUCCACACCGGACAAGCUUGGCAGAGCAUUGGGCUAGUAUUCCAAAGGUCGUAGGUUCGAUUCCCACCGUGGCCGGGCAUAUUUUUCAAGCUCGCCCGGUGUGGAUAUACACUCAAGAGUAACAUCACAAACAUAAUAAUAAUAAUAUCAUGUGACAGGCUGACAGCUACAUAUUACAAUACUUCGAUUUUAAAGCAAGUAAUAACCUAAAAGUAUGUAUCUGCUGAGCACUAUGUUUGUCUGGGGGCCCGUGCCGAAACAGGGAAUAAAAAAUUCGAAAAGAGUAAGCACCGGGGCUUCUGCCGUAUUGUCAAUCCGGCACUGGUCUGAAAGAAGAGGCCCUUUGCAUGCAGCUGGCUUAAAAACACUUUGCAUCACAAUAUGCUCUUGAGUCACUUAUCGUUCUCAACUAUUUUUGACUCACGGAUGUUGCAAAGCAACAUCUUUAAGCAAUGGGAAAUGACCAGCCUGCUUUGCGCGCACUGUCUGCCUGCGAAUCGGGCCUUUCAGAACCGGAAAUCGGGCUGGAGCGCGCGUUCGUUCUUUUGAUUUGGCAAAAGAAACACGACAAAUGGCAAAAUUCGCACGGUGCUCGUUUGCAAAAACAACUGCAAACUACUUUACUUCUAUCUGUCACUUUCAUUUGAUCUCAUCCGUAAGUCGGUCUCAACGGCGUUUGAUUAGUUCAUUGCAAAAAGUCUAUUACAAUACAUGAAAGUAUUCAUUUUCAUAUUCAAUGGACCAUUUGCAUUAUAGACUAAAUUUUGAUCUAGACAAAAAUUUCAUCACAGCUUGAAAGAGCAUCACAAAAUUAGUAAUAUUCCAAAGUUUCGUUGCGAAAUGUUGUAAAAUGCGGAUAAUAUAGCCUUGCGAAAUUUGCAAUUUUCAGUCAUUUUGCAUUAGAAACGGGAAAUUGAUGCCCCAACACCCGACUGGGCUGUCAAUUUCCCGUGCGUAAUACAAAAUUACUGAAAAACGGCAAACUUCGCAUGGCUAUAUUAUCCGCAUUUUACAACAUUUCGCAACGAAACUUUGGAAUAUUACUAAUUUUUUGAUGCUCUUUCAAGCUGUGAUGAAAUUUUUGUCUAGAUCAAAAUUUAGUCUAUAAUGCAAAUGGUCUAUUUAAUUACGUUCAAUCAUAAUUUGAAUAUUGCAAAAUGUUUCCGGUACGAUUGACUCACUUCAUAUUACAAAAUAUAAUAUGCAUACCUUUUUUAUUUUGCUUUACACGAAGACAAAAUAAUAUGCUAGUACAAAGUUAUUUUAAUGACACUCCGGAGGCUAAGAAGAUAUUAAAAUAUGAAUGCGAUUAGACGGUAGAAAACCGCUAAAAUUGGGAGUGAGGGGGAUGUGCGCGAUACUGCCAGAUAGCGGAUUGUGGUCUACCGGAUACUGGAUUGUAGUCUACCGGAUACCGUACUUGGACGAUGAUACGUCACUAAUUUUGUUGUCAUAAACUAGUCCUAUUGUCUGUUCAGUAUGUGGCCACAACGAUUGUCUGACGUAUAGCAAAGAGCAGUUUACAUCACAAAAAAACUUAGCUCUAAUUUCGUUUUAAUGUGUCACAUGUCCGGUAGACUAGUUGUUUGUGUUUCACAAUAUCUUGAUGCAAAACAGAUGGUUUUUGUGGUCAGGGAUGGAAAAAAUAGGCGAGCACACGAACGCCGCUCGCAGAAAUGUUAAACAGCUGCAGGAAAUUCGUUUGAAUGAAGAUUCGCUAUUGAAAAUUUGAAGGAAACCUUAACACCCAUGUCCCACUAUGGGCGCAACUACAUAUGGUUGACAGACAUUAUUCCUUAAAUUUUAAACCAUGGUCAGCCAGAACACUUUAUGUUUAUGCACACGCAGAUUUAGCACAAAAAUACUCUGUUGGUCUGCAGGAAAUUUUUGUCUCCAGGUUGUGCUCCCAGGAAGAGAUUUCUUUUUUCCUUCCAUGUUUGUGGUUAUAGUAAAAGUUCCAGUAUUGUCCGGUGAAUAUCCGCUACAUUUUUACCGGACACGGGAUAGUGCCAGAUGUGUAUGAUUAUAUUUUUCCGGAUAUCGGAUCCAACGCAUCCCCACUAUAAAGACAUGGAUGAUGUUUCCUUGAGCGACCUGUGCCAGUGUAUUAGUAGUGGCAAUAUUAAAAAAACGUCGGUUGAUGUAGGGAUACAACUACCUGAAAAAUACAAGGAGAACUUCGACGUUUCGGGCGAAGGCACUUUGUCGGGAAUUUAGUUCGGACGAGGGAUUCUCGCUCGAAACAUCGAAGUUCUCCUUGUAUUUUUCAGGUGGUUGCAAAAGGAUCAACAAGUUUUGCGGAUGAUAUUCGUCAGUGAUCAUUUUGAUGAGAAAAAUUAAAGUUGAUUUUGUAUCAUGCUUGUGAUGUUACUCUGAGUGUAUAUCCACACCGGACAAGCUUGAAAAAUAUGCCUGGCCACGGUGGGAAUCGAACCUACGACCUUUGGAAUACUAGCCCAAUGCUCUGGGUCGGCACGAAGCUCUAGGAAGAUCUUCUGUGACUGGUUGAUUAUAACAAUGACAAAAGAAUAAGCUAUUGAAUGGAUUUUCUAAAGAACGAAGCAAGAACAAUAUUCCUUUUGUUUACGUAAGCCAAUUACGUCUUUUGUCAUUGUCAUAAUCAACCAGUCACAGAACAUCUUCCCAGAGCUUCGUGUUUACUGAAUGCUCUGCCAACUGAGCUACGCGGUCAGAUCGGUUCGAGUAUUUGAUAUUAAAGGUCGCAUGUUCGAUUCCCACCGUGGCCAGGCAUAUUUUUCAUCAAGCUUGUCCGGUGUGGAUAUACACUCAGAGUAACAUCACAAGCAUGAUACAAAAUCAACUUUAAUUUUUCUCAUCAAAAUUAUCAAAUGACGAAUAUCAUCCGCAAAACUUCACAGUUGAUCCCUUCGCAACCACCGUGGCCAGGCAUAUUUUUCAAGCUUGUCCGGUGUGGAUAUACUCAGAGUAACAUCACAAGCAUCAUAUUCACCUGAGCACACAACACCAACACAGAAAAAAUUAAAGAUUUUGUAUCAGUUGUGUAUACAAGCUCCUCCACAAUCGUCAGAGAUAAUGCUUUCAAUCUAUCUUAUAAUCUAUACUAUCAAGCCUUUACGUUUUUCAUAAAUUUAUUUAUAAUCAUAUGUCAAUACAUCUGAUGGCAUUAAUUACACUUUUUCUUCUUUUCAUUAGCGUAUUUUGUGUCCAAAAACAACAGUUUGCAAUCUAUGUCAUUAAGAUCAUUGGAUUAAGGAAAACGAAAAGUUAUUACAAUGCUGUCACUUAGUCUUAGUUCUCUUCGCGUGAGAUCACGUUUUAAUCUUUCAUGGAUACGCAUAUUGUCCCGGACAGAUGCUGCAUGUUAAUUCACUGUUUUUGUAAGGCUUUACAGAUUUGCAAUUGGGGUGUUAAUUAAAUACAUUAUGUAUUAUGUACGUGGUUGUUAAUAAAAGUACAUUUUGUGUUAUCUAAAGGAUGUGACGUCUUUGUCUUCGUAUUUGGUUUAACUUCUUCAGAACGAACAUUUUAUUUGUUCUUGUAGAUUUGUGAAUGUGCAUGGUAAAUUGUCCAUGGAAAUUUAUGGGAAUCAAAGCUUCUCAAUAGAACUUUGGGAUUCUGGAAAUUAAUUUUGAGUUUGGUCGAUCUUGCAAGAUUUAAAUUAACUGGCUGUGAGUGUCGAUAAUAUUUUAUCCUUCUACCAUUGAUUAGUAUGGGAUGUUGGUGAUAGUAAAGUAAAAUUAAACUUAUUGUAUACUAAACAGCUCUAUCAGUUCUAAACUGUUCACCCUAUAGGGUUGCAGAAAUGGCGAUUCAUCCAUUAUUAGUCACGACAGGAUGAAAGUAUCUAUGGACGCCGAAACCUAAGCUAGACCUCUGUCAGUUCGAAACUGUUCUCCCUUAUAUAUAGAGGUCCAGGGCAAUGAAAAUCGUAGGUUACGUUGCGAUACGGUCGAAGUGGAAAACGGGCUAAAAGCCUGGUUUCCAUAUGGCCGUAAGGAUUGAGUCACGAUCCGUUCUUUUUAAGGGGGCGGCGCUCUUUAAAAAAAAUUGUUGAUCUCAAAUGCGACGCUCAAUCGAGUAAAUACGGUAUUUUGCUCCGGCAUAGUCGGCGAACGGCGUCUUGGAUAAAUGCGUCAUAUCCCUCUUGGAAAGAAGUGAAAAAUUAUUACCCGCUUCGACCAGCUGCCAUCUGUACAAAUACUCUAAAUUGAGUGAAAACAUAAAUGUUAAUAUUACCUGUAUUAAACAACAUAGAUGUUAAUAUUACCUGAUGUUAAUAAAACAUAGAUGUUAAUAUUACCUGUAUAUGGAUUAUUACCUUAGUUUGUUAGUUCAUAUAAUACUAUAUAUCUUAUAUAAUUUUGUAAAUAGUUUUAAAAUUCUUUUCUGUAUACUUUUCGCACGCCCCUCGUGGAAAUCAGUUUCGGUUGACGAGGUCAGCGUGUUUAAAUAAAGUUUAUCUAUCUAUCUAAGUUUUAUAGAAGAACUUUUUCACGAACAUAAUACAGUAGUAUAUUUAGCCGAACUGAAACUCUAGCAAGUUCUUUUAUUAUUACAAUAAUAUACAUUAUUUUUUUACAGGUUCUUUUAUUAAAAUUAUUUACAUUAAUUAAAUGAGAAAAGUAAUUGUUUUGUGAAAUGUUUAUCUUCCGGACUAUAUAACAAAACACUUAAUUUUUGUCCCUUCUGGAACGACUUCGUCUCGGGGGGAAAGGUCUGUCGUAGGUGAGUUGUGUGCUUGAUUAACACAGAACAACAACUUCAAGUUGUAAGCAGGUUGCAUGCGACAACUUUAGGUAAAAGUGUUUAAUCAGAAAAUAUAGGAAUCGCUUAAUACAAGAAUCGCUUAAUACAGCCUACAUGAAUCGAACUCCACGCCGUUGGAAAGGCAUAUAAUAUACACUAAGUAGCUGUACGGACUGUACUCACAACACUGCUGACAAGCGUAAUAUCUGGGGUUUUGCUAUACAUUUCUUAUGAUGAUAUUGAACUUAUUUUUUGACAGGUUCAUAGAAAGAUAGCACAUAUCGCAGGUGGCGGAAUACGAAAUCAGUAAGCUGUGAGUACUAUUGAUAGAUAUAUUUGUAUACCUUGUUAUCCAAUGAUCACGCCUAAUAUCAAGUAAUCUCACCUGUUAUCCCUGUGUGCACCUAAUUGUCCACAUUUGGCAGUCAAUAAUUUCGCUUGUUCUCCAGUGGUAUCCUACCAAAGUGACUAACUUUCCAUCGUUAUCCCCGUCGCAUAUCCGUGUGCUCCUGAAUAUCCACAUCUGCUAUCAUAUAAUCACCCUUGUUAUCCAGUGGUAUCCUAUAUCAAAGUGACUAACUUUCCAUCAUGGUUUGGAAUGAAGUAUUAAUAACCCUACUCGUCCUUGGAGUUCUUAUCUGCGUGGUAAACGUGAUCUUUAUUAUCCUAUUAUAUCACCGCGGAUCCUUAGACAAACUCCAAAACGCCCUCCUUCUUAGUCUCGGGUGUUCGCAUUUUUGUGCGGGUUUUUUUGCCAUACCGUGUGUCCUGCUAUGCAGUCUGAUUGACAUUUACCCCGCCAAGUGCAAACUAUGCAUCACAAGUUACCUUUUCAUCCGUUUCAUAAUGAUCUCAUCCCUCCUGCAUCUCAUGGCUGUCAUCUACGAACGGUACUUGAAAAUCGUCCACCCUUUUUGGUUUCAAAGCAAAGAAUAUACGUUGUUGCGAAGCAGCCGUAUUGCAUUCGCCUUGUGGUGUAUAAGUCUCUUCAUUUCGACAGCCCCGCUGACGUGGUGGCCUUUGGACACGCCUUGUGGGAGUGAGAGGUUGGAUAGAAAUCUGGAGCACUUUGAUUACGCGUGUCUUGCGCUUUUUUGCCUGGUACUGCUGCUCAUAAUCUACGCGUUUGUUCGAAUGUUUCUCGUGGUGCGCACGCAUCUGCUCGAUAUUAACACAACCGCCGUGCAGUUAAGGGCGAGUAUGGAUAACAUGUUAGCUCACUCAACCACAGACUCCAAUCGUUUGGAGCCUGGUUCGGGGGGAAGUAAUCUGCGGCAUUUGCAUAGUGGGUCCGAAGUAUCACGAAGCGGGUCCGAAGUAUCACAUAUAUCUUCUUGUCAAACUCUUCGGAAACAAUUGCUACGAAAAGAAGCCAAAAUUGUGAUACGAUUUGCAGCAAUGAUACUCAUGUUCAUUCUUUCUUGGGGGACUUAUUUCUACCUCUGCCGCCUAGAGAUGAACACGGGCGAUAUCCCAGUACUCUUGGCAAAAAUAGUUAGUGUUGUAAUGUUUUUGAACCCACUGAUCGACCCAUGGAUUUUAACAGUUAAUAACAAAAAUCUUCAACCACGUCAUAACUUUUUUGGAUCUUGCGUGGAUUACAUUUUCCGCGGUUUGUCUCAAUGUGGUUUUGCAUGUUGGUCGAGAGUUACGGUGUGUUUACCUGCAAGAAAACAGCGCUCCAGUGUGCUUAAAGUGAAUACGAAUCCUCUAGUUCAAGUCCGUGUGGAGAAUCGUGCUUGCGGAGAAUGUGUUACGAAUGUUUAAUGCCAUUUCGUUCUGGUUUCGAGUCGCAAAUCCUGGAGCAGGAUAGUGGUACAGAGUACUUACAUAGGCCUGGGCUGAGUUAUUUCAUUAAACUAUCUACCUGGUUUCCAUAUGGUCGUAAAGAACUGAUGAGUCACGAUCUUUCUCAUCAGCCGAAAUACAACAUUUUAGAACUGAAAAUACGCGGAGAAAUUAUAACUAGAGAAUACUUGUGAUUUGUAUGUGGUUUACAGAUAUGAACUAUUAUAAACUGACCGUUGAGAAAGAUCGUGACUAUUUUUACGACCAUAUCGAAACCAGCCUAUACCUCUCUCGUCCGCAGAACCUCCUUAAGUUUUACAAAUAACUUACAUGAAGUUUCCUGAAUAAAAGUGAGCGCGCGCGGAGUGAUGGGAAGAUCCUUGCGCGCUUACUUUUCCCUCACUAGAAACUUCAUGUAAGCCUCUGCAGAGGAGAGAGAGGCUAUACAGAGGUCUCACUUCUGCCGGAAAACCGUAAGGUAGUUUUUACCAAAAUAGCUGGCGGCCAUGUUCUUAGCAAGUGCCCUAAAGAGAGGCAUUCACCCCCCCCCCCCUGGAAGAUUAAAUUUCAAUAUGUUUUCAGGGGGUGACGGCCUCUUUUAGGACACUUUCUAAAUUAACCUGAAGUGAGACCUCUGUAUGAAAGUACUCUGUGAUAGUGGUGAACCUCGGUGGUGAACGACACCAUCACAGAGCAUUAGUCGUCAGCAUUAUACGUUCUAUUCCUAUUACAAUGAUGCCCAAUUCCCCGAAGGCUUUGCAAUACACAAUUCGAAAAAAAAUAAUUUAAAAAUACACGUGUAAAAAUCUCACAACUUGUCAACAAGAUGAGCAAGCUUGUAGCAAGUUGUAACAAUGUUGUUAUUUUAUCAGGUUUGUAGCAAGUUGUAACAAUGUUGUUAUUUUAUCAGGUUUGUAGCAAGUUGUAACAAUGUUGUUAUUUUGCCAGGUUUGUAGCAAGCUUGUCAACAAGUUGGUAACAAUGUUGUUAUUUUAUCAAGUUGCUACAAGGUUGUCACUCGCAACUUGUUGGCAAAUUGUUGAAUUGCAGGACGAUCGAUAAAGGUCGAUCUUGGCCUUAACAAGUUGUUAGAACAACUUGUAACAAAUCUGUUGAGUUCAACAACCUUGUAGCAAGUUGUCAACAAGCCGUCGACAACUUGUCAACAAGCUGGGAACAAGCAGUGCGAACACAUCCUGUUGACAAGUUGCUGUAA